GUUUAACAAAAACAUGUCUUUUUGACUAUAAUUUAAAGUCUAACCUGCCCAAUGAUUAGUAUUAAAUGGCCGCAGUAUACUGACUGUGCAAAGGUAGCAUAAUCAUUAGUUUUUUAAUUGAAAGCUGGAAUGAAAGGUUGAAUGAGAAAAUAACUGUCUCUAUCUAAAUUUUUUAGAAUUUUAUUUUUAAGUAAAAAAGCUUAAAUAUAAAUAAAAGACGAGAAGACCCUAUAGAGUUUUAUAUUUUUUGGGCACUAAAAUUUUAGAAUUUUGUGUUUUAUUGUCUUAGAAGUAUUUAAUUGGGGUGAUUGAAAAAUUAAAAAAACUUUUUUUGAAUUUUUACAUUUAUUUAUGGUUACUUGAUCCUUAUUUAAAGAUUAUAAGAUUAAAUUACCUUAGGGAUAACAGCGUAAUUUUUUUUGAGAGUUCUAAUCGAAAAGAAAGAUUGCGACCUCGAUGUUGGAUUAAAA
rnacentral:rRNA from 1 species